rnacentral:rRNA from 1 species
UUCCUCAGCAGUGGGGAAUAUUGGACAAUGGGCGAAAGCCUGAUCCAGCCAUGCCGCGUGUGUGAAGAAGGUCUUCGGAUUGUAAAGCACUUUAAGUUGGGAGGAAGGGCAGUUACCUAAUACGUGAUUGUUUUGACGUUACCGACAGAAUAAGCACCGGCUAACUCUGUGCCAGCAGCCGCGGUAAUACAGAGGGUGCAAGCGUUAAUCGGAAUUACUGGGCGUAAAGCGCGCGUAGGUGGUUUGUUAAGUUGGAUGUGAAAUCCCCGGGCUCAACCUGGGAACUGCAUUCAAAACUGACUGACUAGAGUGUGGUAGAGGGUGGUGGAAUUUCCUGUGUAGCGGUGAAAUGCGUAGAUAUAGGAAGGAACACCAGUGGCGAAGGCGACCACCUGGACCAACACUGACACUGAGGUGCGAAAGCGUGGGGAGCAAACAGGAUUAGAUACCUGGGGUAGUCCAGGUA